UCAAGCAUGUUAUAAUAAACCUUGCAAGCAAGUUUAUGGUGGUGGCUAGCCUAUCUUUAUAAUAGAAGUGUGGUGAUGCCUAUGAGAAUUUUUGUUAGGCUUCCGGAAAGGAAUUCCAAUGACCGUUUACGAAGCACUGUCUUUCGCAGUUGCUUUUGCAACACUUGUGUUGCUUGUUAGCAGUCAAAAU
rnacentral:sRNA from 1 species